UGACCUCAAAUCAGGUAGGAUUACCCGCUGAACUUAAGCAUAUC
rnacentral:rRNA from 1 species